rnacentral:misc_RNA from 1 species
AACACUGUUAACCUGCGGUACCUGCGGAAGGAUCAUUACACAAUACAAUAUGAAGGCUGUCCGCAGCUGGAGUAUUUUAUUACCCUUGUCUUUUGCGCACUUGUUGUUUCCUGGGCGGGUUCGCUCGCCACCAGGACCACCAAAUAAACCUUUUUUAUGCAGUUGCAAUCAGCGUCAGUACAAACAAUGUAAAUCAUUUACAACUUUUAGCAAUGGAUCU